rnacentral:piRNA from 1 species
UAAAUGUAACAGAUCAGGAUU